GUGAAAGUUUAUUGAAAAAUUUAGAAUGUGUGAGUAAGAUGUUUACAACCUACUAACAAGAGAUGAAUACAAAGAAGGCCUUUGAUUGGUUAAUAAACCUACAUAACCUAUAACCAUUGACAUAAGUUUAAAUCUCAUGUAUGAAGAAGCAUUUAUAUAUUUGAAUACAAUGUACUGCAGGAAAAGAUCAUUUUAUAUACUUAUCAUAUUUCAUAACUGGGC
rnacentral:lncRNA from 1 species